AAGCCAGUCGUACCUUCGGGUAAUCAGCCUUUCGGGUGCGAUUCGUGGAGUUGAGGAGCUUAACACCUUCAUGCUUUGCAUAUUCGUGCUCUUGGGUGUACUUGCCCGUGUGGUUGGUUAACAUCAAUUUCGGGCACCAUAAAAUGGCUGGAGGAAUGUAGCUUCGAUCUUGUAUUGAAGUGUUAUAGCCUUCGGUAGAUGUGGUGAUGAGGAUUGAGGAUUGCAACGGAUACCUUUGGGGGCUACCUGUCUGAUCUCUGAUCGUGGCUUGGGUGCGGAAAGGCGGGCUUAUAGUUAUCAAAGUGGAGGGUUAAUAGGUUGGAACGGGUUAAAUUCGUUAAGGAGGUGGACGUA
rnacentral:rRNA from 1 species